rnacentral:rRNA from 1 species
GAUGAACGCUGGCGGCGUGCCUAAUACAUGCAAGUCGAGCGAAUGGAUUAAGAGCUUGCUCUUAUGAAGUUAGCGGCGGACGGGUGAGUAACACGUGGGUAACCUGCCCAUAAGACUGGGAUAACUCCGGGAAACCGGGGCUAAUACCGGAUAACAUUUUGAACCGCAUGGUUCGAAAUUGAAAGGCGGCUUCGGCUGUCACUUAUGGAUGGACCCGCGUCGCAUUAGCUAGUUGGUGAGGUAACGGCUAACCAAGGCAACGAUGCGUAGCCGACCUGAGAGGGUGAUCGGCCACACUGGGACUGAGACACGGCCCAGACUCCUACGGGAGGCAGCAGUAGGGAAUCUUCCGCAAUGGACGAAAGUCUGACGGAGCAACGCCGCGUGAGUGAUGAAGGCUUUCGGGUCGUAAAACUCUGUUGUUAGGGAAGAACAAGUGCUAGUUGAAUAAGCUGACACCUUGACGGUACCUAACCAGAAAGCCACGGCUAACUGCGUGCCAGCCGCCGCGGUAA